rnacentral:lncRNA from 1 species
GUCACUGGAAGAGGCUGAAUGUGGAGGUCUGUUCACUGGAAGAGGCUGAAUGUGGAGGUCUGUUCACUGGAAGAGGCUGAAUGUGGAGGUAUGGUCACUGGAAGAGGCUGAAUGUGGAGGUCUGGUCACUGGAAGAGGCUGAAUGUGGAGGUCUGGUCACUGGAAGAGCCUGAAUGUGGAGGUCUGGUCACUGGAAGAGGCUGAAUGUGGAGGUCUGGUCACUGGAAGAGGCUGAAUGUGGAGGUCUGGUCACUGGAAGAGGCUGAAUGUGGUCUGUUCACUGGAAGAGGCUGAAUGUGGAGGUCUGGUCACUGGAAGAGGCUGAAUGUGGAGGUCUGGUCACUGGAAGAGGCUGAAUGUGGAGGUCUGGUCACUGGAAGAGGCUGAAUGUGGAGGUCUGUUCACUGGAAGAGGCUGAAUGUGGUCUGGUCACUGGAAGAGGCUGAAUGUGGAGGUCUGGUCACUGGAAGAGGCUGAAUGUGGAGGUCUGGUCACUGGAAGAGGCUGAAUGUGGAGGUCUGGUCACUGGAAGAGGCUGAAUGUGGAGGUCUGUUCACUGGAAGAGGUUGAAUGUGGAGGUCUGGUCACUGGAAGAGGCUGAAUGUGGAGGUCUGUUCACUGGAAGAGGCUGAAUGUGGAGGUAUGGUCACUGGAAGAGGCUGAAUGUGGAGGUCUGGUCACUGGAAGAGGCUGAAUGUGGAG